AUUCUAAGGUCCCUCACAGCUCAAUCAUUCUAUGUUUUUGAUCUGAAAUUUUAUAUUUUAUGUCUCUUCUGUAUUUAACAUUCUGUUGUUUCAAUACUUUAUUGUCCUAAGUCCUUUCACAUUCUCCAGCUCUUACAUUCUAUAGUCUGUGUUCUAAGGUCCCUUUCAGUUGUAACAUUCUGUGUUCUAUGUCAUGAAGUCCCUUCCAGCUUUCACAUUCUGUUCUUUUGUGACAUAGCACAGAUUGGGAUGAUUUAUUUUUUCUUGUAGCUGGAAAGGGCUGGGAAUCCUAAAAUGCAUUGGCCAUAAUUAUACAUUGGAGACCAAAGGUCAGGAGCUUUGCAUAUACAAAUAUGUACACUGUCAAGCAAUAAGCGGGAACAGAGGAUGAACUUUCACCAUGGAUUAAAUGCUAAAACUUUUCUUUUCAAAAUAUGGUAGUAAAUGAUGAAAACGUGCAUGCACAGCAGACUUCUGGAGGCAAAAUGUCAUCGGAGGCAUCUGUGGCUCCAGGAAAGAGACCCAGUCUGACAGAUCCACCUUUUACCAAGGGACAGCACUGAAAUCACCCAGUCCCGGCAAUGAAAACAGCAAGCAACUAUGGAAUGGAGAGAGGCUCAGGAGUAAAAAGCUGGUUAGAGGAGAAGGAACUUCUCUACUGAUGGAAAGUUCCCUGGGGAUGGAGGAGAGAAAUUAACCCAAUCUGGCUACUUCCCCUUAGCGAGUCAACAUAGCAGAGAUCCAGCCUCACAUCCCUAGUGCUCCAACGGAACACUGUCAUUGAAACCACUCACCCCUCCAAAAAAAAAGUCUAAAUAAGAGAAAACAUGCAGUUAUAGAUGAGAGAAUAAGCAAAUAGGGAGGGGAGGGCUGAUACAAGACUUUUUGUGUCAGGAUAGAAAGACAAAUAGCAAAAAGAACAAGAGAGAACGCCUCGAUGAAAUCUCAGACAUAAGCAGAUAAACUGACAGGGACACUUAAAGAAAGAAAGGAAUAUGAACAAAGAAUCUAGAAAAGGGAUACAGCACAAUAAAUCAGUACUACAUAAUAAGGAAACCCCCAAUAAAUAGAAAACAAUGAAAUAAAUUCUAUUGGGUCCCCUCAAAUCAUGGAAUAACAGUAAGAAACUAUGGACUUACACAUCAGAAAAAUAAAUAAUUAAAAUAAGGAUGUCACAUAAGAAAGAGGGUGGAAAUCUGAGUUCUCAAAGAAUAAAUAAAAAAGACAAGAGAACAAACACUUAGGACAUAGGGCAGAGAAUCUGCACAAAACAGCAGAUUCUCUGAGAAAGAUAAUUUCAUAUUUGAAACUUGAAAGUACAGAAAUGAAAGGAAAUUUAACAGAAACAAACUUUUUUUUAAAAUUGGAAAAAGAUGAAUUUGAUAAAAUGUAGAGUGACUGAUGCUGAAGAUAUGAUGGACAGAUAAUUUCAGAAUCAUAGGUGUUCCAGGAAAAAUUAUGAAUUUAAAAUAUGCAUACCAUAUACAAAGAAAUAGUAUAAGAAAAUCACCCAAUGUACUAAAACAGAGGGUAAAAUACUGUUUAAUAGGGUAGCCAGGAGGCACAGU